rnacentral:rRNA from 1 species
GAUGAACGCUGGCGGCGUGCCUAAUACAUGCAAGUCGAGCGAACGGACGAGAAGCUUGCUUCUCUGAUGUUAGCGGCGGACGGGUGAGUAACACGUGGAUAACCUACCUAUAAGACUGGGAUAACUUCGGGAAACCGGAGCUAAUACCGGAUAAUAUUUUGAACCGCAUGGUUCAAAAGUGUAAGACGGUCUUGCUGUCACUUAUAGAUGGAUCCGCGCUGCAUUAGCUAGUUGGUAAGGUAACGGCUUACCAAGGCAACGAUGCAUAGCCGACCUGAGAGGGUGAUAGGCCACACUGGAACUGAGACACGGACCAGACUCCUACGGGAGGCAGCAGUAGGGAAUCUUACGCAAUGGGCGAAAGCCUGACGGAGCAACGGCGAGUGAGUGAUGAAGGUCUUCGGAUCGUAAAACUCUGUUAUUAGGGAAGAACAUAUGUGUAAGUAACUGUGCACAUCUUGACGGUACCUAAUCAGAAAGCCACGGCUAACUACGUG